UUGCGUAGGGGUCUCUGGUUUUUGCACAAAAGCCUCUGAUUCGAUUUUCUCAAUUGCAAUUGGGUCCCUGAGCGGCGCACGGCGGCGGGCGGGCAAAAUCCCGGCGAAGCGCCGGCGGGCUUGGGGCGGAAAGAGGCCAGGGAGGGUCAGGGCUCACCUGUGGUGCGAUUUGAUGCGAGUUAGGGUGAUGGGGAGGUCUGAUGGGGGCAGAACGUGGCGGCGGACGGCGUGCGGCGUGGUGGCGACGGGCGGCGGUGUUCUGGCGGUGGCGGCACUCUUCGUGGACAACGGACGGGCUCUAGAGCUGCGCAAGGGGGAGGCGAAGCGGCUGGG
rnacentral:lncRNA from 1 species